GACGAACGCUGGCGGCGUGCUUAACACAUGCAAGUCGAACGGAAAGGCCCCUUUGGGGGUACUCGAGUGGCGAACGGGUGAGUAACACGUGAGUAACCUGCCCUUGACUUCGGGAUAACUUCAGGAAACUGGGGCUAAUACCGGAUAGGAAUCCUUGCUGCAUGGUGGGGGUUGGAAAGCUUCGGCGGUUUUGGAUGGACUCGCGGCUUAUCAGCUUGUUGGUGGGGUAGUGGCUUACCAAGGCUUUGACGGGUAGCCGGCCUGAGAGGGCGACCGGCCACAUUGGGGCUGGGAUACGGCCCAGGCUCCUACGGGGGGCAGCAGUGGGGAAUAUUGCACAAUGGGCGGGAGCCUGAUGCAGCAACGCCGCGGGCGGGAUGACGGCCUUCGGGUUGUAAACCGCUUUCAGCAGGGGCGAAGCUUGUGGUGACGGUACCUGCAGAAGAAGCACCGGCUAACUACGUG
rnacentral:rRNA from 1 species